rnacentral:lncRNA from 1 species
AGGAAGUGGCAGAUGGGAUUCUGAGUAAAGACUAGUAUAUAGCAAUGGAGCUCGAUGUGAGCUCCUCCUUAUGGAGAUGAUGGGUCAUGGUUCAUCGGCAAAGCUCUUCUGUGACGGCUCUGAAGGGAGUUUUCACGUAGAUCAACUGGCAAAAAGAGAAAUAGCCACACUUCCUGCUCUCUCUCUCUCUCUCUCUCUCUCUCUCUCUCUCUCUCUCUCAGUAG